AUUGAACGCUGGCGGCAGGCCUAACACAUGCAAGUCGAACGAGUGGCGGACGGGUGAGUAAUGUCUGGGAAACUGCCUGAUGGAGGGGGAUAACUACUGGAAACGGUAGCUAAUACCGCAUACCCUCAGAUGUGCCCAGAUGGGAUUAGCUAGGUGGUGGGGUAACGGCUCACCAAGGAGACGAUCCCUAGCUGGUCUGAGAGGAUGACCAGGCACGCUUGAACUGAGACACGGUCCAGGCUCCUACGGUAGGCAGCAGUUGGGAAUAUUGCACAAUGGGCGCAAGCCUGAUGCAGCCAUGCCGCGUGUAUGAAGAAGGCCUUCGGGUUGUAAAGUACUUUCGGCGUGGAGGCGUUACCCGCAGAAGAAGCACCGGCUAACUCCGUGCCAGCAGCCGCGGUAAUAC
rnacentral:rRNA from 1 species